GGAGGCAUAGCUCAGCUGGUAGAGCUCCGGAGUAUUUCGGAAGGACACUAGUUCGAUCCUAGUUGCCUCCA
rnacentral:tRNA from 1 species